AUUUUGGACAAUGGGGGAAACCCUGAUCCAGCCAUCACGCGUGUAUGAUGAAGGCCUUCGGGUUGUAAAGUACUUUUGGCAGAGAAGAAAAGGUAUCUCCUAAUACGAGAUACUGUUGAUGGUAUCUAAUGUAUAAGAACCGGCUAACUACGUGCCAGCAGGCGCGGUAAUACGUAUGUUGCAAGCGUUAAUCGGAAUUACUGGGCGUAAAGCGUGUGUAGGCGGUUCGGAAAGAAAGAUGUGAAAUCCCAGGGCUCAACCUUGGAACUGCAUUUUUAACUGCCGGGCUAGAGUAUGUCAGAGGGGGGUAGAAUUCCACGUGUAGCAGUGAAAUGCGUAGAUAUGUGGAGGAAUACCGAUGGCGAAGGCAGCCCCCUGGGAUAAUACUGACGCUCAGACACGAAAGCGUGGGGAGCAAAC
rnacentral:rRNA from 1 species